GGGUCGGUACCCAAGUGGUUAAAGGGGACGGUCUGUAAAACCGUUGGCUUCGGUCUACGCAGGUUCGAAUCCUGCCCGGCCCA
rnacentral:tRNA from 4 species